rnacentral:rRNA from 1 species
GACGAACGCUGGCGGCGUGCUUAACACAUGCCAGUCGAACGGUAAGGCUACAGCUUGCUGGGGUACACGAGUGGCGAACGGGUGAGUAACACGUGGGUGACCUGCCCUGCACUUCGGGAUAAGCCUGGGAAACUGGGUCUAAUACCGGAUAGGACCAUGGUGUGGAUACUGUGGUGGAAAGUUUUUUCGGUGUGGGAUGGGCCCGCGGCCUAUCAGCUUGUUGGUGGGGUAAUGGCCUACCAAGGCGGCGACGGGUAGCCGGCCUGAGAGGGUGGACGGCCACAUUGGGACUGAGACACGGCCCAGACUCCUACGGGAGGCAGCAGUGGGGAAUAUUGCACAAUGGGCGGAAGCCUGAUGCAGCGACGCCGCGUGGGGGAUGACGGCCUUCGGGUUGUAAACUCCUUUCACCAUCGACGAAGGGUUUCUGACGGUAGAUGGAGAAGAAGCACCGGCUAACUACGUG